AAGAAAACCAAAAUCUAUAUUUAUAUUUAAAAAAAUCCUCCUAGAAACUAGAAAUCAUGAGUACAAAGCUAUCUUAUAUGAAAAUAGAAAUCCCAAAAGUAAAACACAAUAAUCCGUAUCAAAGGAAAAAUAAUAGCUUAACAUAUACACACAAAGAGACACACUGAUCCAAGAUGCCAAGUGUUCAUCCUCAUCUCUGAUACCCAAAUGCUACAAUAGAUGACACAAACAAUUAUCCCUAGUAGCUGGUACUAAAACCUGCAUCACGGAAAAGAUGCAGGGUAUAACAUGAGUACUAAAAACAAAGGUACUAAUAAACUAAGCCUAACUUGACCUCCAUAAGACUAUAAGGUACACUCAUGUGCAUGUUUAAGCAAAACCUGAACGAAUCCCUGUAAGCCCGAAAGGUAUGCAGAAUAGCUAAGUCCACUAAGAGAAGAGUAACACAAACCUAAAGUCGGGCUCCAAGCCCAAAUAACCAUCAUAUCCAGUCAAAUCCCAGCCCAUAUCGCAAGCGUGACAAUCAAUCUAGGUCGCCCAGGCAACUAGUCCAUUCUUAGGGGCGAAAGCCGUGCAGCUAGAAAGAGGAUUGGUUUGGAACACUGUACAUACAAAUGAGAUAUUGAAACCAAUAAUAAUUACAUUUUGGACUCAAUAGAGGAAACAAAAUUUCCAUACGAGGUCAUCUUGAAAGAAUAAGGGUCCCAUACUGAAUCUAAUUUCAAGCCGAAAUCCACAAAGGGCUCUUAUUUAGCCCGAAGGCCUCGAGAUCCAAACAACGGGUCAUUCUAGACCAAACUCAACCUUCCGAACCUAACUGAGAGGGCACAAUUCUCAUGCGAGCUCGCCUACUCAGAUUUUGACAAAAAGUCAAACUUAGGUCUUAGCUUGGAAGUUAAAAUGUCCAAUCGCACAGACUCGUAUUGAAAGACUGGUGAGUCACGCCGACCAUGCUACUAGCCCAAAUUGACCCUUACAAAGUUGAUGAAAUUGUCAGAAUAGGAUUCUAAUGUCAUGUCAGAAACUUUUUAUUAAAAUGACCGUAAAAUUUUCAAAAGCUGCAAGACACUAAAAGUUACAUAUAAAUCAAUCAAAUGACUAAGUGACCUAAUUGUUAGUUCCAGCGAGUCAUAAAAUUACUUGGAGAACCAGGAACGGAGGGCUUUCCCCUCAUCUGCCCGACUCUUUGGUCUUAAGAACGCUGGUUUUAAGAAUCACUUUAAGAAUGUUUUAAAUGACGAACAGGUGACAUAAAUAUAAAAUGACAUGGAGGUCAUUACAACAUAGUCUACUACGCUAAUUCUUUUUCUUAUAACAAAAGAUUGACUCAAAAAGUUUGGUUGGUAUAAGAUCGCAUCCAAAAACUACACAUAAUUCAAGAUGAUACACCCUUAUUUAAAUUUAUUCCAAAACAGUUAUUGUUGAUAGUAAAAUAUUCUCUAAUUCAAACUACUCAAAAAAGUUCAGAAUUCAAUUUUUUCAUAUAAAUAUAAGGGUUAGUCGUAGGCAAAGACAAGAACAAGAAGAAGAAGAACAACAACAACAAGAAAGUCAUUCUUGAACAAACACAUACAUCCUCAUAUUCCUCCCCUUAGCCAUGUCUAGAAACAAAGUAAUAUUUUCUUUGAUUGAAAAUGAAACUGAUAGAAAAGUCUCACACAAGAAAAGACACAUAGGGUUGUUGAAAAAGGCACAAGAACUCAUGACUCUUUGUGAAGUUGAAAUGGAUGUCAUCAUCUAUAGUCCUUAUAGUAAUGAACCUAAGGUGUUUCCCAAUCAUGGUGUUGCAAUCAGCACCUUUCGAAAGUUUAAAGAAUUUGCAACGUCGGAGAGAUAAAAAAAUAUGGUGACAAGAGAUGAAUUAACCGAAAAAAGAAUCAAGAAGUUGGAGAAAAACUUACUAAAGGUAAAAAAGAAAAAUAGGGUAAAGGAAAUUAAGAAUGAGAUGCAUGAAGUGUUGAAUGGAAAAACUAUUUCCUUAGACAUGGAGCCUUACGAUCUCAACGAUCUAAGUUACGUGAUAAAAAAGAACCUUGAACUGGUACGUGAAGCAAUGAAAAAGAAUGUUGGUGAUGAGGGGUCUACAUCCAAUGUCCCUCAAUCCAUGCCUUCAACAACAAUGACUUCUAUGAUGCCUUCAUCAAUUAUAGAUUCUCCAUUGUAUGCUCCAGUGCCUUCUCCAAUGACACCACAAAUGGACCCUUCAGAGGAGAUCCCCCUAAUGGGUACAUUAAUUCAAAUGAAUAACUCUCAAAACUACUCUAGUGACAUUUCAGAAAGUCCUUCAUUGAUUGAGUUACUAAAUUGGAAUAAUGAUGAUGUCGUGACUUUGCUGGAUGACCU
rnacentral:lncRNA from 1 species